rnacentral:rRNA from 1 species
GACGGAGGAUGCAAGCGUUAUCCGGAAUGAUUGGGCGUAAAGCGUCCGCAGGUGGCAGUUCAAGUCUGCUGUUAAAGACCGGGGCUUAACUUCGGAAAGGCAGUGGAAACUGAACAGCUAGAGUAUGGUAGGGGCAGAGGGAAUUCCUGGUGUAGCGGUGAAAUGCGUAGAGAUCAGGAGGAACACCGGUGGCGAAGGCGGGUCUCUGGGCCGAUACUGACGCUGAGGAGCGAAAGCGUGGGGAGCGAACAGG